ACUACGGCUACCGCUACUGCUGCUGAUGCCUUUGCUGCUGCCGCAGAAGAAGGAAGUUGGAGUCUGAUGGAUACAAAAUUAGUUGACCUGGGCAGAAUUUGAACCUAGAACAAAAGAAAUCGCAACUGUCUCCAUUUGACUGCGGCCAUACUGGAGCACCGCCUUUAAUCGAACAAUUCGACCCGAGGACUAAGCCUAGCCUAGUACUUAUUCUAUCGGUCUUUCCUGCCGAACCACUAAGUUACGGGGACGUAAACACACCAACAUCGAUUGUCAAGCGAUGGUGGGGAGGCAAACAAAAACAUACAAACAUAUAUAAAUGUUUAUAUACGUCGAGCUUCUUUCUGUUUCCGUCCACCAAAUCCACUCGAGGCUACAGUAGAAGGUACUUGCCCAAGAUGCCACUUAGUGGGACUGAACCCGGAAUUAUGUGGUUGGUAAGCAAACUACUUACCACACAGCUACUCCUGCGCAUAUAUAUAUAUGUGUGUGUGUGUGUGUGUGUGUGUGUGUGUAUGUGUG